rnacentral:rRNA from 1 species
GAUGAACGCUGGCGGCGUGCUUAAUACAUGCAAGUCGAACGAAGAUCUAGCUUGCUAGAUCUUAGUGGCGAACGGGUGAGUAAUACAUAAAUAAUCUGCCCAUAUGACUGGGAUAACUAUUGGAAACGAUAGCUAAUACCGGAUAGGUUGAUUGGAGGCAUCUCUGAUUAAUUAAAGUAGGAUUUCUACACAAAUGGAUGAGUUUAUGGCGCAUUAGUUAGUUGGUGGGGUAACGGCCUACCAAGACGAUGAUGCGUAGCCGACCUGAGAGGGUGACCGGCCACACUGGGACUGAGACACGGCCCAGACUCCUACGGGAGGCAGCAGUAGGGAAUUUUCGGCAAUGGGCGCAAGCCUGACCGAGCAACGCCGCGUGAGUGAUUAGGGCCUUCGGGUUGUAAAGCUCUGUUGUAAGGGAAGAACAUUCAGGAUAGGAAAUGAUCUUGAACUGAUGGUACCUUACCAGAAAGCCACGGCUAACUACGUGCCAGCAGCCGCCGUAACAC